GGGCUUGUAACUCAGUGGUAGAGUGCUCGCUUCGCAGUCUUCCAUUGGAGAAAUAAAAAUGCGAGAAGUCGAGGGUUCAAUUCCCUCCAAGUCCA